rnacentral:lncRNA from 1 species
ACGACCCGCGCCUCCAGCUGAGGUUUCUAGACGUGACCCAGGGCAGACUGGUAGCAAAGCCCCCACGCCCAGCCAGGAGCACCGCCGAGGACUCCAGCACACCGAGGGACAUGCUGGGCCUGCGCCCCCCACUGCUCGCCCUGGUGGGGCUGCUCUCCCUCGGGUGCGGUGAGUUCUGUGUUCCACGGAGGGGACUCCACGCGUGACAUUCCAAUCAGGGAGAACAGGGCCUGCCCUCACUUUCCCAUAGACAGAAGUUCCCGGGAGGCUGGGGAAGGACCUUGCCACUGGGGGUAGGUCGGGGACUCAGGCCUCGUCUCCGCACGUGCCAGGAGGCUGUAGCUGUGCUGUUUCCCGAGGGCCCCUCUUUGCACCUGGGGGUGGUGGCGAAUGCGGGGUCUCCUCCUGGAGGCUGCCUCCCUGUCUUUUUGGGCCUCCUCUGACCUUCCUGCUCUACUCCCCCUUGGGUGUGGGCAGGGCGGCCCAGAGCACCCACUCACCAGCCGGCCUCGUCCCUCAGUCCUCUCUCAGGAGUGCACGAAGUUCAAGGUCAGCAGCUGCCGGGAAUGCAU